UUUUUUUCUGUCGACUUUCUGUACAGAACUUCAAAUCUAACUUGCUAUCAUCCAUAUCUAAAUGUUUCUCAGAAAUAUUUUGAAAAACUGUACGCCUUUUUGGUUCAUCAUUCAUGGGAUUUGUUGCUCUUUUCCGAUCUUUCAUUUGGGAAACAUGUUUGCCUGUGUUAAAAUAGCCUAGCUCUUUAGCGAAUGCUGCUGCAGCGCCCUAUGUAUAACCAGGAAAGUUGUCAAAACAUUUGUAAAUAGUCACCACAAAAGUAUAGUAACAUAGAAAAUUAGGACUGAGGACACUGAAGCGUGCACCUUCCCAUAGCUCUUUGUAGGUGGAGUAGACUGUAAGUGCCGAUGGUAUUUACCAACAACGAUGCUGCUGCUGAGCUCAUCACCAUUAUCUGCAAAAGAAAUGGCAAAGGUCCAUUUGUUUUUGUGGGGAAAGGUAAAUUGAUGACUGAAAAAAACAUAAGCAAUAUGCAUCAGACAGUUGAAGGCAAGAAAAGGAAGGUAUUCGAUCGGCUCACGUGAAUACACCUUCGCUAAAAACCAGCAAAAGGAAGACAACGAAUGAAUCCUAAAUUCCUAAUACUUUUCUGCCUCAGGCUUGGGCUGUUGUGCAUAUCUCAUAGGUGACUCACUUUCCUUGUGCCUCUUCAGAUUUUCAUGCACUGGUUAGUUUGUUAUCCCAGUUGGCCGAUGGUGCCACGAGAAAUGUGUGUAUCCAACUUGUAAGGUUAUAUAAAUGUAAAAUAAUUAGUUAGAUAACUACGUGAAUAUGUGUUUUUAGGUCAAAAUUUAUCAAGUUACUGAUGAUUAAAAGUAUUACUGUUUAGCUCACAAUGAAUCUGAACUCGGCUAUGUACAGAAAGUCCAAAUCGAAUCCACAUAUAAGUUUCAUGUAGCUUCGUAUUAAUUAGCACAACCAAGUUAUGGGUAAAAAAUGCAGGGUUAAAUACUUCUGCAUAUCAUCGAAAUAAGAAACAGAAAAACACCUCUCUGACGAAGAGGGACAACACAUAACCCAGUGUAGUUGAUUAAUUCAAUUAACAUAUGUCCAGUGAUCCUUGGUGAUGAGUUAUGAAGAUAAAAGAACGUUGAGAAAAGGAACAGCUGCAUACUUGUACAGUUGUCCAGCAGUACAUCAUUUUUCCAGUAAGGUAAGUACCCAUGAAUAAUUUUAAUAUUCGGCAGAAUGACACCUUUUGAUACUGAUUUCCACAAAUUAUGGUAACCAACACCGUAAACCUACCAAGCACGAACAUCGAGGAAUUGGAUAUAGUGAAAACAAAAUCAAAAGGCUAGGAAGGAGUAGUGCUGGCAGCAUUCAUGUCUCCAAAAGAAUGUGGGCAUUUUGCCCAAUGAUACACUUGGCUUGCAACCGUAAGAAUUCGUGCUUACAUCAUCAAGAUAAAAGGAAAUUCAUGGUGAAUAAGUUGAGCCGGCAAGGUUUGCUUGGAGCUAAACAUCUAAACGCACGCACAGCUAUCAAGUAGUAGCAUGCAACUGAAAAAUUACUAGUAUUUCACAGCAACAAUAUAUUCAUCAGUAAGCGAAGAUGCAAAAUUACCAGCGGCGGUGAGGUAACGCGUCGUGGCCCCGUGACCCGUCAUUCCUCUCGUACCCACGUGCAGUUCACCGAGGCAGCGACCGAGAUGCAGGGGAGGCACGGCAGCGAGGGAUGCCGCGCGCCCGCGGCGCCGGGGGAAGGACAGAGAGGUGACGCCGGCGGGAGGACGGAGCGGCGGCAGGGUGGAGGGUGGUGCGGGGAAGAAGGCGAAGGGAGCGCCGAGGAGGCUAGUUAGCGGAUCUUGGCAGCGAGAAUCGGCGGCGGCGAGGAUGAGAACUCGGGGUGUGAGAAACCUAGCGAGACGACGAUGAAACAACGAGGGUCUGGAGGGUGCUGUUUCCUUUUGUCAAUCGGAUCGUUUUUGGUGGGAAGGAAAGAAACCAGCGUGAGAGAUUUUUACAAGAAUCUAUCGACCGGGCGUUCCCACAAGCCAAGUUCCUUCGGGUUCAACUUUUUAUUCAGAAAAACCGUCAAAAAAACACUUUUUAUUCAGAGAUAUCAUGUGACUUGGUCGCCAAUGGCGAGGACGAUUUCUUUCUCGGCCCGCGAUCAAGACCACCCGACCGCGGCACAUUUUGGCGCCAAACGGCCACCUUUCCUAUCAUAUCCUCCUCUUUGCCUUCGCCCAGCCACGAAGCUCAUAGCUAGAGCCUAGAGAGACUUCAGGUUGAGGAAACAUUUGAAAAGAAAAACAUGAAUGAAUGAAUCUCCCACGAUUGAUGCAGAAAUGGCAAAUUUCGGCAGAGCCCCUGUAAAACUCACACGUUCCAAACAGGCCAGACCACAAAGACGGCACCGCCACGGAGAAAUUUAGGCCAUUCAAGCGUCAGGAUUAUGACGAGGUUCUUCUUCACCCAACAAAGUGUUUCCUUCUGGUAUGUGUUAGGCCACCAAAUUCAGGCAGGUCGCCAACUCAAUGAGAAUGCGAACGAGGAUUUAAGUUUAACUCCCACAUUCGGUACAUGAUACAGCCAAUGUAAUAAACAGAAACAUCCGGCAAAUCAUCGAAUCAACAACAUCCUAGCUUACAACAUUAUAAGCUCAUUCACCCCAACUUCUGGACUAAGUAAUUGGUACAACCCACUAAGUAAGCAACACAACAACUACCCAGGACAAGCUCAAACUGGCUGGCAUUGCCAUGGGGCCGCACGGAUGGUGGUUUUCAGUUGC
rnacentral:lncRNA from 1 species